CCGUGGACCCACACCACAGCCUCUCUCUCUCCUCUCAGCCACGAUCUCCCUCCCUCGCAAAAAUCCCCAAGUCCGCCCCUGUCCUCGUCUUGCCGCCGUCGCUCGUCGAUGCCCGCAUCGCCGCCCGCACGCGGAGCUCCGCUGUCCCGUCUGUCGCUGGCCACCUCGACGCGGACGGGGAGCAGCACGAAGCUCCGCUGGAGCGGCCCCCGCCCUCGAGCUUCUCGGCUGCACGGGAGGUUGGCGCCGACGAACGUGGGCCGGCGGAGCGGCGAAAGGAUGGGGACGGCUCGGAGAGCGGCGGUUCCGGGUCAGUCACCAUGCCCAGGUGCCGCAGCGAGACCGGGUCCACGGACUAACUAAUCCGGUGGUGCAUGCACUGGGCUGAUGAUGCACGAACUGAACCGACGAGGCUGCAGUUACAUACGCGCCUGUCCGUGGUCCGUGGCCAUGAUCUGCUGCGCGGCGCCGCGGUUCUGGUGGCUGAGGAGGAGGCGGCCGCCAUGAUGCUUCGCGCCCAGCGGAUCGUCGUCCUUCUUCGACGGCGUGCUCCGUCUGGCAUCCGCCAUCGAGCCCCAGAAGCGCGGUCUCCUCACAGAGGCGCGGGCGAGCGUGCGUCCUAGCCAGCGCGUGCUUGAGUGCAGUGCGUGCCAUUGCCGGGAGUGCAUACAACAUGUUCGAUGAAAUGUCUAAGAAAAGAGAGGCGGACCAAUGAGGAGAAAUUUGAUGAUUGUCCCGACCGCUAUCCGUUGUGACUCCCAUUGGAGUUGCCCUCGUUUCUUUCUCUUUUUCCCACUUAAAAAGAGCGCAAAGGUUCUGUCGUCCACCUCGUCCAUCGUCCAACCUGUACGUUCCCCGCUCUCUGUGUUCUGAUUUUCUCCAUUCUAUCUCUGAAUUUUUUCGCAUGUUUUCCUUAAAAAAUAUCUUAACUGUCCCACCUUUUAUUGACUUAUGAACUAAAAUUAUAUUUACUUUGGCAAGUCAAUAGUUUUUUUUAAUCAAAUACCAAAUUUAUUUAGGUUGGUAAAUCACAUGCAAGAUUUAUAGACAUUUAUUUACACAUUUCCAUUAAUAUGAGUGGGUAAAUCGCAUGCUAACAUAUUAGAAUAUUUAUACACGUUGCUCACACGGACAGGGCAAUUAUCUAGUCUAGAAAAAAAAUCCGAUACGGUUGAUACACAGUGUGCUUGCCUCACCAUCUCCCUCCUCGCCGUAGUGUUCGAUCCCAAGGCCUAAUGCACGCCGAGAUCUUCUCCCGCCGUAUUCCCUCUAAGGCCUCUUUCUUGUCCAUCUCUUCUCUUGCUGGAUCCCCGAUGCGCCACUGCAAACUGAUUGGAGGAUCAGUUCAAGCCCGGCGAUGGCGUGGUAAGAAGAUCACACUCAUCGACGAUGACUGGAGAGGAGUAGGUGAGAAGAAGGCGGUGGAGGUCGCGCGCGCAUCGGCACUCGGGCGCUGGAGAGGCACAUGGCAGAGCGGGGGAAUGGCGCCGUCUGUUCAACUCGCAUAUUGUCUCCGUUGGAAUCCCUGAUGUGGAGAACUAGCUUUGUCGUAUAAUUCCUGUGGACUGCAUAGAAAUCUUCCAUGGCCAUCAAUAUGCUGAUUCGUCAGCUCCGAACUAUAAUAUCAACUGUCUGUUUGGGCUAUCUUUUUCUUGUGGAAGAAUCUACCGUUCUAUAUGUAUGUAUAAAGUGGAUGACACCUGUACUUCGAAGUGAUGGCUCGGCAAGUUCGAGGAAAGUUCCUGUGCCAAACCCAUGAAGAAUGACGUUGGUAAAUUCCUCAUCCGUUGAAUCUUCUGAAUCCAAGACUUUGAUCCUUGAGGAAUGGGAUUGUGACAAGUCAAGGAGCUCAGCUUAUACUCUUCCAUGCUUGUGUUGUAUAUGGUGGAAGGUUUAUUUUUGAAUAGUGCAAGUUGCAUUUUUCAUCAAACUGAAGUUGCACUUUCCAGAAUCGAUCAAAAGAUAAGAAAUAUGUCCCCCUCUAGGUGCUUACAUAACUGUACUUAAUCAUUUCUUCUCGAGAAAAUAGAGGAACGAGUUAGUUAAUGACUAUUGAGUAGUGGCAUAUUUGCUACGCUGAUUACAUUCA